CGAGUGCUUGCACUCAAUUGGAAAGAGGAGUGGCGGACGGGUGAGUACACGUGGGUAACCUACCCAUCAGAGGGGGAUAACACUUGGAAACAGGUGCUAAUACCGCAUAACAGUUUAUGCCGCAUGGCAUAAGAGUGAAAGGCGCUUUCGGGUGUCGCUGAUGGAUGGACCCGCGGUGCAUUAGCUAGUUGGUGAGGUAACGGCUCACCAAGGCCACGAUGCAUAGCCGACCUGAGAGGGUGAUCGGCCACACUGGGACUGAGACACGGCCCAGACUCCUACGGGAGCAGCAGUAGGGAAUCUUCGGCAAUGGACGAAAGUCUGACCGAGCAACGCCGCGUGAGUGAAGAAGGUUUUCGGAUGUUCGGGGGC
rnacentral:rRNA from 1 species